CUCCAAUGCCAGCCAGCACUCGUAGAGAAACCAAGUGGCUCAUCCCAGGUGAAUUGCUUGCUUCCAGCCAUUCAGCCUGUGAACCUCUUCAAGUUCAGCAUCUGACCCUUUCUCCCUGCACCUCACUAAGAGCUGCCUGCCCCUCUGCCC
rnacentral:lncRNA from 12 species